GGUUAAGCGACUAAGCGUACACGGUGGAUGCCCUGGCAGUCAGAGGCGAUGAAGGACGUGCUAAUCUGCGAUAAGCGUCGGUAAGGUGAUAUGAACCGUUAUAACCGGCGAUUUCCGAAUGGGGAAACCCAGUGUGUUUCGACACACUAUCAUUAACUGAAUCCAUAGGUUAAUGAGGCGAACCGGGGGAACUGAAACAUCUAAGUACCCCGAGGAAAAGAAAUCAACCGAGAUUCCCCCAGUAGCGGCGAGCGAACGGGGAGCAGCCCAGAGCCUGAAUCAGUGUGUGUGUUAGUGGAAGCGUCUGGAAAGGCGCGCGAUACAGGGUGACAGCCCCGUACACAAAAAUGCACAUGCUGUGAGCUCGAUGAGUAGGGCGGGACACGUGGUAUCCUGUCUGAAUAUGGGGGGACCAUCCUCCAAGGCUAAAUACUCCUGACUGACCGAUAGUGAACCAGUACCGUGAGGGAAAGGCGAAAAGAACCCCGGCGAGGGGAGUGAAAAAGAACCUGAAACCGUGUACGUACAAGCAGUGGGAGCACAGAGCAAUCUGUGUGACUGCGUACCUUUUGUAUAAUGGGUCAGCGACUUAUAUUCUGUAGCAAGGUUAACCGAAUAGGGGAGCCGAAGGGAAACCGAGUCUUAACUGGGCGUUAAGUUGCAGGGUAUAGACCCGAAACCCGGUGAUCUAGCCAUGGGCAGGUUGAAGGUUGGGUAACACUAACUGGAGGACCGAACCGACUAAUGUUGAAAAAUUAGCGGAUGACUUGUGGCUGGGGGUGAAAGGCCAAUCAAACCGGGAGAUAGCUGGUUCUCCCCGAAAGCUAUUUAGGUAGCGCCUCGUGAAUUCAUCUCCGGGGGUAGAGCACUGUUUCGGCAAGGGGGUCAUCCCGACUUACCAACCCGAUGCAAACUGCGAAUACCGGAGAAUGUUAUCACGGGAGACACACGGCGGGUGCUAACGUCCGUCGUGAAGAGGGAAACAACCCAGACCGCCAGCUAAGGUCCCAAAGUCAUGGUUAAGUGGGAAACGAUGUGGGAAGGCCCAGACAGCCAGGAUGUUGGCUUAGAAGCAGCCAUCAUUUAAAGAAAGCGUAAUAGCUCACUGGUCGAGUCGGCCUGCGCGGAAGAUGUAACGGGGCUAAACCAUGCACCGAAGCUGCGGCAGCGACGCUUAUGCGUUGUUGGGUAGGGGAGCGUUCUGUAAGCCUGUGAAGGUGUACUGUGAGGUACGCUGGAGGUAUCAGAAGUGCGAAUGCUGACAUAAGUAACGAUAAAGCGGGUGAAAAGCCCGCUCGCCGGAAGACCAAGGGUUCCUGUCCAACGUUAAUCGGGGCAGGGUGAGUCGACCCCUAAGGCGAGGCCGAAAGGCGUAGUCGAUGGGAAACAGGUUAAUAUUCCUGUACUUGGUGUUACUGCGAAGGGGGGACGGAGAAGGCUAUGUUGGCCGGGCGACGGUUGUCCCGGUUUAAGCGUGUAGGCUGGUUUUCCAGGCAAAUCCGGAAAAUCAAGGCUGAGGCGUGAUGACGAGGCACUACGGUGCUGAAGCAACAAAUGCCCUGCUUCCAGGAAAAGCCUCUAAGCAUCAGGUAACAUCAAAUCGUACCCCAAACCGACACAGGUGGUCAGGUAGAGAAUACCAAGGCGCUUGAGAGAACUCGGGUGAAGGAACUAGGCAAAAUGGUGCCGUAACUUCGGGAGAAGGCACGCUGAUAUGUAGGUGAAGUCCCUCGCGGAUGGAGCUGAAAUCAGUCGAAGAUACCAGCUGGCUGCAACUGUUUAUUAAAAACACAGCACUGUGCAAACACGAAAGUGGACGUAUACGGUGUGACGCCUGCCCGGUGCCGGAAGGUUAAUUGAUGGGGUUAGCGCAAGCGAAGCUCUUGAUCGAAGCCCCGGUAAACGGCGGCCGUAACUAUAACGGUCCUAAGGUAGCGAAAUUCCUUGUCGGGUAAGUUCCGACCUGCACGAAUGGCGUAAUGAUGGCCAGGCUGUCUCCACCCGAGACUCAGUGAAAUUGAACUCGCUGUGAAGAUGCAGUGUACCCGCGGCAAGACGGAAAGACCCCGUGAACCUUUACUAUAGCUUGACACUGAACAUUGAGCCUUGAUGUGUAGGAUAGGUGGGAGGCUUUGAAGUGUGGACGCCAGUCUGCAUGGAGCCGACCUUGAAAUACCACCCUUUAAUGUUUGAUGUUCUAACGUUGACCCGUAAUCCGGGUUGCGGACAGUGUCUGGUGGGUAGUUUGACUGGGGCGGUCUCCUCCUAAAGAGUAACGGAGGAGCACGAAGGUUGGCUAAUCCUGGUCGGACAUCAGGAGGUUAGUGCAAUGGCAUAAGCCAGCUUGACUGCGAGCGUGACGGCGCGAGCAGGUGCGAAAGCAGGUCAUAGUGAUCCGGUGGUUCUGAAUGGAAGGGCCAUCGCUCAACGGAUAAAAGGUACUCCGGGGAUAACAGGCUGAUACCGCCCAAGAGUUCAUAUCGACGGCGGUGUUUGGCACCUCGAUGUCGGCUCAUCACAUCCUGGGGCUGAAGUAGGUCCCAAGGGUAUGGCUGUUCGCCAUUUAAAGUGGUACGCGAGCUGGGUUUAGAACGUCGUGAGACAGUUCGGUCCCUAUCUCGCCGUGGGCGCUGGAGAACUGAGGGGGGCUGCUCCUAGUACGAGAGGACCGGAGUGGACGCAUCACUGGUGUUCGGGUUGUCAUGCCAAUGGCACUGCCCGGUAGCUAAAUGCGGAAGAGAUAAGUGCUGAAAGCAUCUAAGCACGAAACUUGCCCCGAGAUGAGUUCUCCCUGACCCUUUAAGGGUCCUGAAGGAACGUUGAAGACGACGACGUUGAUAGGCCGGGUGUGUAAGCGCAGCGAUGCGUUGAGCUAACCGGUACUAAUGAACCGUGAGGCUUAACCUU
rnacentral:rRNA from 1 species